rnacentral:RNase_P_RNA from 1 species
GGCUGCAGGUGAGGAAAGUCCGGGCUUCACAGGGCAGGAUGCCGGAUAACGUCCGGUGGAGGCGACUCCAAGGCCAGUGCAACAGAAAUGUACCGCCUGAAGCUUUUUGCUUCAGGUAAGGGUGGAAGGGCAGUGUAAGAGACUACCGCCCUGCUGGUAACAGCAGGGGCACAUGUAAACCCCAUCCGAAGCAAGACCGAACAGAGACUAUGUGGCGGCCCGUCACGUCUCAGGUAGGCCGCUGGAGCCUGCUGGUAACAGCAGGCCUAGAUAGAUGAUUACUCAACGACAUAACCCGGCUUAUCGUCAUACUUGUAUU